CAUUAACAAAGAAAUACUAGGGUGUCAUUGUUAAGAGGAUAUAAAUCAGACAGGAGACCUGCAAACUUGACAAUGAUGGCAAUUCUGGAUGGCUUCAGAAGGCAUAUUCCGUUGAUUUCAGACCACUCAAAGUACCGCGCGCUGCUGCAGUCCAAGGGGCUCAUUAUAUUUCACCAUUGAAAAGGCAAAUAAUCUCGUAUGCAUCUGGUAACCAAGCUUGUACACUCGUUUAAGGAAGGUUCGGAGGAAUGGUCCAAGAAGGCGGUAGAGCUUGAGGAUUCUUGAAGACUUUAGACGUAAGUUCUAUUUGUAAUUUAUUUAUUCAACAAUGGCGAAUGAUGCACAGUACACUAAUUCCUCUUGUGAACAUGCAGUUUGGUUGUGGAAUUUCAAAAUUAUCUGUUUGUCUUAUGUCUUCAUGCAUGCUGGACGCAAAUGGAAGGUGUAUGAGGUGGCAAAGACGGUCUUUGAAAACAAUGACACAGAAACUAGAAAGUCUUUGCAAAGUGAUAAUGGUGGUAAAAAGUUGAUCAUUUUCUUGGCUUUCACUCUUCAUUUCAUCCAUCAAGCAUUCCUUUAUAUGUUUGCAUUGUUAUCUUGAGUUCUUGAUAUUUAUCAUCUACAUUAUGGGGUUGUGAUUUUCUUUUUAUCUAUGGCAAGUUUGUUCCUUUGAUAAAUAGUGUUGGAUGCUUUUUUAGUGGUUUUU